UCACUUACCUGGACGGGGUCAACACGUAAUCAAGAAGGCGAGUGGCCUAGGCUAGUGACCUCCAUUGCACUAAGGAGGGGUGCUUAGCUUUAAGGUCUCCCCAAGUGGGAGAGCCUGCGUCAUUAUUUGUGGCAGAGGGAGCCUGCGUCCGCGCGGCUCCUA